ACGCUCUAUAACCCUUUGUGAACAUACCUAUAACUGUUGCUUCGGCGGGUAGGGUCUCCGCGACCCUCCCGGCCUCCCGCCUCCGGGCGGGUCGGCGCCCGCCGGAGGAUAACCAAACUCUGAUUUAACGACGUUUCUUCUGAGUGGUACAAGCAAAUAAUCAAAACUUUUAACAACGGAUCUCUUGGUUCUGGCAUCGAUGAAGAACGCAGCGAAAUGCGAUAAGUAAUGUGAAUUGCAGAAUUCAGUGAAUCAUCGAAUCUUUGAACGCACAUUGCGCCCGCCAGCAUUCUGGCGGGCAUGCCUGUUCGAGCGUCAUUUCAACCCUCAAGCUCUGCUUGGUGUUGGGGCCCUACAGCUGAUGUAGGCCCUCAAAGGUAGUGGCGGACCCUCCCGGAGCCUCCUUUGCGUAGUAACUUUACGUCUCGCACUGGGAUCCGGAGGGACUCUUGCCGUAAAACCCCCCAAUUUUCCAAAGGUUGACCUCGGAUCAGGUAGGAAUACCCGCUGAACUUA
rnacentral:rRNA from 1 species